rnacentral:rRNA from 1 species
UACAGAGGGUGCAAGCGUUAAUCGGAAUUACUGGGCGUAAAGCGUGCGUAGACGGUUAUUUAAGUCAGGUGUGAAAGCCCCGGGCUCAACCUGGGAAUUGCAUUUGAGACUGAAUAGCUAGGGUGCGGAAGAGGGAAGCGGAAUUUCCGGUGUAGCGGUGAAAUGCGUAGAUAUCGGAAGGAACACCAGUGGCGAAAGCGGCUUCCUGGUCCAGCACAGACGUUCAGGCACGAAAGCGUGGGGAGCAAAAAGG